GGCUUAGUGGCUGAGCGGUAAAGCGCUUGGCUUCCGAACCAUGGGUCUGGGGUUCGAAUCCUGGUGAAGUCC
rnacentral:tRNA from 1 species